rnacentral:rRNA from 1 species
GACGAACGCUGGCGGCGUGCCUAAUACAUGCAAGUCGAACGGUCUUUUCUAUGGAAGCUUGCUUCCGCUGAGAAGAUAGUGGCGAACGGGUGAGUAACACGUGGGUAACCUGCCCAUAAGAGGGGGAUAACAUCCGGAAACGGGUGCUAAUACCGCAUAGGUUUCUUGGUCGCAUGAUCGAGAAAGGAAAGACGGCCUUUGUGCUGUCGCUUAUGGAUGGACCCGCGGCGUAUUAGUUAGUUGGUGAGGUAACGGCUCACCAAGACGAUGAGACGUAGCCGACCUGAGAGGGGGAUCGGCCACAUUGGGACUGAGACACGGCCCAAACUCCUACGGGAGUCAGCAGUAGGGAAUCUUCCGCAAUGGACGAAAGUCUGACGGAGCAACGCCGCGUGAGUGAAGAAGGUUUUCGGAUCGUAAAACUCUGUUGUCAGAGAAGAACAAGUCGGAGAGUAACUGCUCCGGCCUUGACGGUAUCUGACCAGAAAGCCACGGCUAACUACGUGCCAGCCGCCGCGGUAAUAC